rnacentral:rRNA from 1 species
AUGAUGAGCACCCACAAUAAUCUGCAGGGAAUAUGUACAGGAGAACGAAACAAAAAAGACAUGGAACUGGAAGAUGCUGCCCCAUCGGAUCUUGGUAUAGGUCCCGCAAAAAAGCUCGCGACUGGAUAUGACCGCGGCUCCUGGGCAAUGCUGGAUUGCGACUGGAGACGGGUCUUGGCUCAGCAGCUUGGCUGCACGAAUGAUUCAGCACAAGAUCUACCAGCAAACUUUACUUCGAUGGCAGUACACUAUGGCAUGAAUGCAUAUUGGCAAAUGCAUGCUGCAUCUGUUACUCUUGUGCUAAUUCAGGAACACAAUCAAGGCAAGUACUCCAAUAAGAUGAGAGGAAUACGAUGGAUUGAUGGAUUGCCCAGUUGA